rnacentral:rRNA from 1 species
AAUCUACUAUGUUGGAAUUGUCGCGGUGCGGGCAAAGCUGCGACAAUUCGAGAGCUUCGCGAUUUAGCGAAGCAAUCUGCCCCGAUAGUGCUAUGUAUAGUGGAAACACAAAUCUCUAAAGCACGUGUCGAGAGUCUUGCUGAUACUUUAGGUUUUAAUCAUGCUUAUGCAGUUAGUAGUGUGGGCCGAAGUGGUGGUAUUGGUUUGUUUUGA